UGGGAUAGCUCAGUUGGUAGAGCAGAGGACUGAAAAUC
rnacentral:tRNA from 2 species